CGAACGAACGCUGGCGGCAUGCUUACACAUGCAAGUCGAACGGCAGCACGGGCUUCGGCCUGGUGGCGAGUGGCGAACGGGUGAGUAAUGCAUCGGAACGUGCCCAGUUUGUGGGGGAUAACUACGCGAAAGCGUGGCUAAUACCGCAUACGCCCUGAGGGGGAAAGCGGGGGAUUCUUCGGAACCUCGCGCAAUUGGAGCGGCCGAUGUCAGAUUAGCUUGUUGGUGAGGUAAAGGCUCACCAAGGCGACGAUCUGUAGCGGGUCUGAGAGGAUGAUCCGCCACACUGGGACUGAGACACGGCCCAGACUCCUACGGGAGGCAGCAGUGGGGAAUUUUGGACAAUGGGCGCAAGCCUGAUCCAGCAAUGCCGCGUGCAGGAUGAAGGCCUUCGGGUUGUAAACUGCUUUUGUACGGAACGAAACGGUGAGCUCUAAUAAAGCUUGCUAAUGACGGUACCGUAAGAAUAAGCACCGGCUAACUACGUG
rnacentral:rRNA from 1 species